UACGUAGGGGGCAAGCGUUGUCCGGAAUUAUUGGGCGUAAAGCGCGCGCAGGCGGUUCUUUAAGUCUGGUGUUUAACCCGAGGCUCAACUUCGGGUCGCACUGGAAACUGGGGAACUUGAGUGCAGAAGAGGAGAGUGGAAUUCCACGUGUAGCGGUGAAAUGCGUAGAUAUGUGGAGGAACACCAGUGGCGAAGGCGGCUGCCUGGGCCUGGCCUGACGCUGAGGCGCGAAAGCGUGGGGGAGCAAUCCGG
rnacentral:rRNA from 1 species